UACGUAGGGGGCAAGCGUUGUCCGGAAUCAUUGGGCGUAAAGAGCGUGUAGGCGGCUCGGUAAGUCGGCUGUGAAAGUCCAGGGCUCAACCCUGGGAUGCCGGUCGAUACUGCCGGACUAGAGUUCGGAAGAGGCGAGUGGAAUUCCCGGUGUAGCGGUGAAAUGCGUAGAUAUCCGGAGGAACACCGGUGGCGAAGGCGGCUUCCUGGGCCGACACUGACGCUGAGGCGCGAAAGCUAGGGGAGCAAACGGG
rnacentral:rRNA from 1 species